rnacentral:lncRNA from 1 species
UCUCACUCAUUGAAGAAUUGUGGCACAUCCUUAAUGAUGAAUGUGUUCAGCCUGAAGAGGUGUCUUUGGCCACAAUCCGGCAAAAACGGCAAUCCCUAAGCAAUAAAAGAUGGCACAUUGCAAGGGAGGCCGUGGUCAAAAAUCUUUUGGCAGCUGAACAUGUUCAGGAAUGGAUCUGUCAACACUGUUUUACUGCUGAGGCCAUUGUACGGUGCAGGGACUGUCUAUCUGGGGCAGUAUCUAUGCACCAUGUGUGAUGGAGAUGUCCAUCAGCAGCUUCCUCUCCAUAACAGAGACUCUCUGGCCCAUGGGUUCUUUAAGCCCUUGUGUCCAAGCACUGCAGUGAAGAGACAUUCCCAAACAAUUGAGUUCUCUGAACGAGGUCUGAUAUCUUCCACUACUUUUGCCAGACAAAAUCUGUGCCUGUUCAGAAGGUUCAUGCAGAGAGAUCAGUGGCAAGCCCAUUAUUGUAAUGAAUUUUAAUGUUUAUUAUAGGA